rnacentral:rRNA from 1 species
AUGACGACAAGCGACCUCCUCUUCUACGGCGCGAGCAGCGGCACGGACUUGGCCGGGCCGUUUCUUCAACAGCCCAUGGCGCCACCGCACCGGUCGCACGAGGAGUUCAACUUCGACUACCUCAGCGAAGUGUGCAAUCCUUAUAGGAGCUGCGUCGGCGUCGUCCCUCGGCAUGGGGUCGCCCACGGGGCCGGCCAGGCGCUGGUUCAGUAUCCUCUCCACGACGCCAUGGCGGAGGACGACCCCAGCGGCAGCAACCUGCAUCGCGGUGGUGGGUCGUCGUCGUCACCGGUGCCGUUCGUGUUCGGAGCAGGAGGCGCCGGGGAGAGCCCGGAGAUGAUAAGGGGCGUCUUCACCGGCGCCCACGCUCGAAGCAAGCUCAACGGCGGCACUACCUCCAAGAACCUUAUGGCGGAAAGGCGGCGCCGGAAGCGUCUCAACGACCGGCUCUCCAUGCUUCGCUCCAUCGUGCCCAAGAUCAGCAAGAUGGAUAGGACCUCGAUCCUCGGGGACACCAUAGACUACGUGAAUGAACUAACCGAGCGGAUCAAAACCCUCGAGGAGGAGAUCGGCGCCACGCCGGAGGAGCUGAACCUGCUGAACACCACGAAGAAUUUCUUCAGCGGUAGCAGCGAGGAGAUGCCGAUGAGGAAUUCCACCAAGUUUGUCAUCGAGAAACAGGGCGACGGCACGAGGAUCGACAUCUGCUGCGCCACUAGCCCCGGCGUGCUGAUCUCGACGGUGAGCGCGCUGGAGGUGCUGGGGCUGGAGAUCGAGCAGUGCGUCUUCAGCUGCUUCGGCGACUUCGCCAUGCAAGCAUCAUGCUCACAAGAGGAAGGCAGGAGCCGAGUGACAAGCACCGACGAGAUCAAGCAGGCAUUGUUCACGAGUGCCGGCUAUGGAGGAAGGUGUCUGUAG